GACGAACGCUGGCGGCGUGCCUAAUACAUGCAAGUAGAACGCCGUUGCGAACGGGUGUGUAACGCGUAGGUGACUGCCUCAUUGCAGGGGAUAAAUAAUGGAAACGAUAGCUAAUACCGCAUACUGUGGGAUGGACCUGCGUUGUCAUAGGUAGGUGGUUAGGUAAAGGCUUACCAAGGCGACGAUACAUAGCCGACCUGAGAGGGUGAUCGGCCAAACUUGGAAUGAAGCACGGCCCAGACUUCUACGGGAGGACGCAGUAGGGAAUCUUCGGCAAAGGACGGAAGUCUGACCGAGGAACGCCGCGUGAGUGAAGAAGGUUUUCGGAGCGUAAAGCUAUGUUGUGAGAGAAGCGAUAACUAACCAGAAAGGGACGGCUAACUACGUGCCAGCAGCCGCGGUAAUUC
rnacentral:rRNA from 1 species